rnacentral:rRNA from 1 species
GGGACACGUGGUAUCCUGUCUGAAUAUGGGGGGACCAUCCUCCAAGGCUAAAUACUCCUGACUGACCGAUAGUGAACCAGUACCGUGAGGGAAAGGCGAAAAGAACCCCGGCGAGGGGAGUGAAAAAGAACCUGAAACCGUGUACGUACAAGCAGUGGGAGCCUCUUAAUGGGGUGACUGCGUACCUUUUGUAUAAUGGGUCAGCGACUUAUAUUCUGUAGCAAGGUUAACCGAAUAGGGGAGCCGAAGGGAAACCGAGUCUUAACUGGGCGUUAAGUUGCAGGGUAUAGACCCGAAACCCGGUGAUCUAGCCAUGGGCAGGUUGAAGGUUGGGUAACACUAACUGGAGGACCGAACCGACUAAUGUUGAAAAAUUAGCGGAUGACUUGUGGCUGGGGGUGAAAGGCCAAUCAAACCGGGAGAUAGCUGGUUCUCCCCGAAAGCUAUUUAGGUAGCGCCUCGUGAAUUCAUCUCCGGGGGUAGAGCACUGUUUCGGCAAGGGGGUCAUCCCGACUUACCAACCCGAUGCAAACUGCGAAUACCGGAGAAUGUUAUCACGGGAGACACACGGCGGGUGCUAACGUCCGUCGUGAAGAGGGAAACAACCCAGACCGCCAGCUAAGGUCCCAAAGUCAUGGUUAAGUGGGAAACGAUGUGGGAAGGCCCAGACAGCCAGGAUGUUGGCUUAGAAGCAGCCAUCAUUUAAAGAAAGCGUAAUAGCUCACUGGUCGAGUCGGCCUGCGCGGAAGAUGUAACGGGGCUAAACC